rnacentral:rRNA from 1 species
GCGUUGUCCGGAAUUAUUGGGCGUAAAGAGCUCGUAGGCGGCCUGUUGCGUCCGCUGUGAAAUCCCAGGGCUCAACCCUGGGCGUGCAGUGGAUACGGGCAGGCUGGAGGCAGGCAGGGGAGAACGGAAUUCCCGGUGUAGCGGUGAAAUGCGCAGAUAUCGGGAGGAACACCGGUGGCGAAGGCGGUUCUCUGGGCCUGUACUGACGCUGAGGAGCGAAAGCGUGGGGAGCGAACAGG